CUUCCUGAGUGUACAGAUUUCGAUGACUUACUUCCUCAAGGCAGGGCUCGGUGAAGUUCUGGCAUACCUGUCCGCAGGACACCUGAGGGAAGAUGCCUCUCCAGCUCCCCACCCUAACUGACAAGGUCUGAGCAAUACAGAAACUUCCAUGGGCUCACCAAAAUGGCUUUCCCUAUGCCCUGGGCUAGAGUGAGAUAACAUUUCCAGGCUCUUCUGCAGUUGGGUGUGGACUGAGUUCUGACAAUGGAAUGACUCUAAGAACCCAGGGGAGGAGGAGCCCAACUUGGAAGGAGCCUGGGAUCCUGAACAACCAUGAAAGUUGAUGCCCAUUUUGGUUCUGACCUGACUGAAAAAUAAAG